GAAACGCGAUAGUUAAUGUGAAUUGCAGAAUUCAGUGAAUCAUCGAGUCUUUGAACGCACAUUGCGCCUUUUGGUAUUCCGAAAGGCACGUCUGUUCGAGCGUCAGUGUAAACCUUCCGCGACGGAUCUUUUCGGAGACCGUCCGCGGGUCCCUGGCGAGGGGAUGUUCCCGCCGCGCCUUCCUUCCCUUCGCGGGGUCGGCCGGGUGCGGGCAGGUUUCCCCCGCUUAAACGCGGAGAAAGCUAGCGGCCUCCGGCCACGACUGCGAGACUAGUAAAAACACAUGCCUGUCCCGCGCGUCGUUCGGUCCACGGAGUUGCCUGCCUCGAAACGUUCGGAAGGGGAAUCACUCCCCUUCCUUACCUGACUUCUUGACCUCGGAUCAGAUGAGGAUACCCGC
rnacentral:misc_RNA from 1 species